GGGAUGGAGGAAUGCCAGGGAACUCCUGAGAAAAGAAGUGAUAGUGCAAGGUUAUUUUCAAGAGUGGAGAGGAAAUAUAUAAGAAAAAAGACUGAAAAGGGAAUUGGCGUUGGACUUCCAUUGGGUUCCAAGAGGCCGUGUGUCGGGCUUCUGAAUAAGACAGAGAGAUGCGUUCAGGAUGACCUCUUCCAAAAAGUAAUAACUUAACAAGUAAUUUAUUUCCACAUGGAGCUUGUGAAAUGACUAAGAUUUGACACCAAGAAUGUAUUAGAGUUGUUGGCAGUACAAUUAGAGAUCCCACAUCUGCACCCAAGACAGUAAAAAAUGUUGUCAGAAAAAUGCCAAACAAUGGAUUGAGUCACAGGAAUUUGUUUAUAGAUACAUUAGAGUUUUGAAGGCACUUCAGGACUAGGGCGUUGCCAUGGGAGAUUUUAGAAGGGUAGUGGACCUAGGCAACCAACCUAGAUUAUUGAGGAAAAUGGCGGGAGGUGGCCAACACAUCACUGUAAGCUGCCAACAUUUAGCACCUGAAUAACUAAGACUAAGUUACCCGGAGGCUAAAAUUUUCAUCAAAAACUCCUUAUAUUGUAUUGCCUGGUGGAAGGAGGGGGACACAGAAAAA